GACGAACGCUGGCGGCGUGCUUAACACAUGCAAGUCGAACGAAGUGGCGAACGGGUGAGUAACGCGUAAACAACCUGCCCUUCAGAGGGGGACAACAGUUGGAAACGACUGCUAAUACCGCAUACUGAAGGAGGGGAUUGCGUUUGAUUAGCUAGGUGGAGGGGUACCGGCCCACCAAGGCGAUGAUCAGUAGCCGGGCGUAGAGGAUGAACGGCCCAAGUGGGACUGAGACACGGCCCAGACUCCCACGGGAGGCAGCAGUGGGGAAUCUUCCGCAAUGGACGAAAGUCUUACGGAGCAACGCCGCGGGAGUGAUGACGGCCUUCGGGUUGGAAAGCUCUGUUAAUCGGGACGCGGUACCGGAAUAGAAAGCCACGGCUAACUACGUGCCAGCAGCCGCGGUAAUAC
rnacentral:rRNA from 1 species